rnacentral:rRNA from 1 species
CUUGACAUCCAGAGAAUUUAGCAGAGAUGCUUUAGUGCCUUCGGGAACUCUGAGACAGGUGCUGCAUGGCUGUCGUCAGCUCGUGUUGUGAAAUGUUGGGUUAACGUCCGCAACGAGCGCAACCCUUUAUCCUUUGUUGCCAGCACGUAAUGGUGGGAACUCAAAGGAGACUGCCGGUGAUAAACCGGAGGAAGGUGGGGAUGACGUCAAGUCAUCAUGGCCCUUACGAGUAGGGCUACACACGUGCUACAAUGGCGUAUACAAAGAGAAGCGACCUCGCGAGAGCAAGCGGACCUCAUAAAGUGCGUCGUAGUCCGGAUUGGAGUCUGCAACUCGACUCCAUGAAGUCGGAAUCGCUAGUAAUCGUAAAUCAGAAUGUUACGGUGAAUACGUUCCCGGGCCUUGUACACACCGCCCGUCACACCAUGGGAGUGGGUUGCAAAAGAAGUAGAUAGCUUAACCUUCGGGAGGGCGUUUACCACUUUGUGAUUCAUGACUGGGGUGAAGUCGUAACAAGGUAGGCGUAGUGCU